AACGAACGCUGGCGGCAGGCUUAACACAUGCAAGUCGAGCGCCCCGCAAGGGGAGCGGCAGACGGGUGAGUAACGCGUGGGAAUCUACCUUUUGCUACGGAAUAACGCAGNGGAAACUUGUGCUAAUACCGUAUGUGUCCUUCGGGAGAAAGAUUUAUCGGCAAGAGAUGAGCCCGCGUUGGAUUAGCUAGUUCGUGUGGUAAAGGCCUACCUUCGCGACGACUCCAUAGCUAGUCUGAUGAGGAUGAUCAGCCACAUUGGGACUGAGACACGGCCCAAACUCCUACGGGAGGCAGCAGUGGGGAAUAUUGGACAAUGGGCGCAAGCCUGAUCCAGCCAUGCCGCGUGGGUGAUGAAGGCCCUAGGGUUGUAAAGCUCUUUCACCGGAGAAGAUAAUGACGGUAUCCGGAGAAGAAGCCCCGGCUAACUUCGUGCCAGCAGCCGCGGUAA
rnacentral:rRNA from 2 species